UCUGUGAAAAACAAGCCUCUUAAACUGAACGAAUGAGUAACCAUGAUGUGUGGGUUGUGCUUUCUACACAGCAACGUCUGGGAAGACCCUUCUGUGAAAAGCUAUCUGAGAACAAUUGGGGAUGCUUUGGUGCUCCUACUCGCCUCCCACAGCCCUUUGUAUCAGCAGCUCAGUGGAGACAGUCUGACAGCAAGAUUCUUUUGUUAUUUGAAAUUUCAGGAUUAAGAGCCACAGAAAAUGAAUUAUGGUUACUCUCACUGACAGGAGAUCAGAAGAAAAUUCAUUUUCAAAAGUCUACCUAAGUCCAAGAAAGAUUCUGCAUCCUGUGUCUUCUUAAUUCUUCUUCACAGGUACCUCCAGGACACAAUGCAAGCAUGCUCCUUGUCAUAUACAGGGACAUGCACAAUGCAACUUGUUGGGAACAUUCAGCAUUGUUACCAACAAAGCACAUGUGUUCUGAUCCAUUCUGUGUCCAGCCCUGAGUGCAAGAACACACGACUCAAGAGCCACAUGUGCACUCCUGCCAUGACAAACUGCCCAGUAAGAUCCUUCACACAAUAAAGAACUCCCUACAUGGAUCCAGGCUGUAGGUAUAUUGAUUUAAUUGUUUCUUUUUACAAAUACCAAGAAAAUAAUGGCAUGUUUCUCAAAGUUUACCUGGAGAACAUGUCCUAAUCCUUUUUCAUGAAUUGAAGCCUAAGGAUUUCAACUUUGGUUUGGAUUUUUUUUUUAA